rnacentral:lncRNA from 1 species
GCGGGGCGACGGGGGGCGAGCCCGUCGGCCCGGCCCUAAUCGGAUCGGACCUAAUCUGCCCGUCCGGUGUGCGCGGGGGAAGGGGCGGGACCCAGCUAGCCGCUCUUCAUUGCGGUCCUUUUCUACCUCCCCGCUAUGCACCGAACUCCCGGUGGUCCGGGCCUCAAGGCUCAAGUUUCUGGAUGGACCAAGCCCGGCUGGCACACGGACCGCGGGGCCACGCAUCAUUCUGGAAGCCGAUUUCUCGAACUGGGGCGGCCUGGGGCUGUGCACUCACGGCCCUGUUCGCUGGGGAGGCGGAGUUGCAGGCUUGUCACCUAGUUUAGACCCCACAAACCGACUGUGUCCACCUCUUGAGGUGCUGUGAGCCCACACGAUGACGUCUGGGCGUCGGGCUGAGGAGAUGGGGCAACUGGUGUUUGAGAGAGGCUCCCAUUUCUGUCAUUAGGAGGCUAAAUAUGUGACCAUCUCCUGAGGCGGCUGUGUUGGUUCAAAGCCUUUCUCCUACUGGAACUGUUGCUGCUGCUUGGUGUCCCUUACCCUCCAGGGCUGCCCAGGAAACUACACCAGAAAACUCCCUGCUGUCACCCUGGCUUCAGAGCCUCUUCAGCCAAGCCCAUUCAGACAUAUUGCCCGGGUCAGUGUCAGGCAUGACCGCUCUCGAGGAGUGGGCAGGAGCCCCCAGAGAAGGUGUGGGUAGCACCCACACCCCCCAGAACCAAGGGCCUCACUUGCUGACUCUUUCCAGGGCUUCGAGCGGCCUCCAGAGUCAGUGAAACAGCGUGAGCUUUGACCAGAAGCAGCAACACACUUCAGCUGUCCAGCCCUCCCCCCAGUUUACGGGUCAUUUGUACUUUAGAAAGACUGUAUUCUCUGCUUCUCCACCUCCUUCGUUCUUGGGUUAUCAGGGUGGACUGUGAUGUGCAGAACUGCUCCUCCUCCAGAGCUGCCUGCCUGCCCCAGCCUCAAGGAGGGGCCCCAGGAAAGACAGACUGGGACCAAGCUCUUCAUACUGACAACUACUUGACUGCAGGGAACUCUGGAUUCCAAGUUGAAGAAGUGCUGCUCCUGUCUCAAAAGGAUGUCACGAGAAGUGGUCAUCUUGUCCUGGCAGCAGGACUCACCAGAUUGGAAAGGCCUCCUGAAUCUCUAACCCUAACCCCAAAGCCCAGGCAGAUGGAGAAAGCCACAUACGGAGCAGCCAUCAGAGAGCACCUCUGAAGGGAGCACCUUGAUUUGUGUGCAGAAAUGACCUUUUGCCUUUGCAGGUGACCUAAGCACUUCUCAGGGCCCCUGCAGCAACUGCAGAG